CCCUUAGAUGUUCUGGGCCGCACGCGCGCUACACUGACGAAUGCAACGAGCUUAUAACCUUGGCCGAAAGGUCUGGGUAAUCUCCAAAUUUCGUCGUGAUGGGGAUAGAUUAUUGCAAUUAUUAAUCUUCAACGAGGAAUGCCUAGUAAGCGCAAGUCAUCAGCUUGCGUUGAUUACGUCCCUGCCCUUUGUACACACCGCCCGUCGCUCCUACCGAUUGAAUGGCCCGGUGAAGCGUUCGGACCGUGGCCUUUGGACGGUUCGCCGUCUGUUGGCUGCGGGAAGUUCGUUAAACCUUAUCAUUUAGAGGAAGGAGAAGUCGUANCA
rnacentral:rRNA from 1 species